GCAGGGCCGCUCAUCCACUGCCCUCCCGAGGUGCUGACCGACCCACUGCUUCCCGUGUGCCUGCUCCGGAACCCUGACCGCCCAGAUGUCCUGCCAGCAGAGCCAGCAGCAGUGCCAGCCCCCUCCCAAGUGUCCUGCCCCUAAAUGCCCCCCAAAGUGUCCCCCAAAGUGCCCUCCAGCCUCUUCCUGCUGUAGUGUCAGCUCUGGGGGCUGCUGUGGCCCCAGCUCUGGGGACUGCUGUGGCCCCAGUCUAGGGAGCUGCUGUGGCCCCAGCUCUGGGGGCUGCUGUGGCCCCAGCUCCGGGGCUGGCGGCUGCUUCCUGGGCCACCACAGGCACCACAGAGCCCACUGCCACCGCAGGCACCACAAACCUGCUGACUGCUGCAGCCAGCCCUCGGGGGGCUCCAGCUGCUGCGGAGGGGGCGUGGGUCAGUCCUCCGGAGGCUGCUGCUGAAGCGGACCUGCGCCAACCAGAGCAGACUUGGGGCAGCAAAUGGACAGACACUUCCACUUCCUGCUCUCCCUGGUCUUGCCUAUGGUCCUGAGAUGUCCCAGGGAAGGUUCUGAGCUCUGCGCUCAAAGUUUCAUCUUCCCUGGGCUUCAGAAGCUUAGAUCAUCUCCCAAAAUCUAUGUGCUGAUAUCUGACACCCACUGCGUUGUCUGCCCUGGGAUCCCCAGCCCACAGAGUCCAGUGCACUGCCCAGAUAAUCUGCUAGCAGUGGGCGGCCUCCAGUGAAACAAUAAAAGAAGUGUGCCCACAGUUUUGCUUCUU